rnacentral:rRNA from 1 species
CAGCCGCCACGGGAAUACGCAGGGUGCAAGCGUUAAUCGGAAUUACUGGGCGUAAAGCGUGCGCAGGCGGUCCGCUAAGACAGAUGUGAAAUCCCCGGGCUUAACCUGGGAACUGCAUUUGUGACUGGCGGGCUAGAGUAUGGCAGAGGGGGGUAGAAUUCCACGUGUAGCAGUGAAAUGCGCAGAGAUGUGGAGAAAUACCGAUGGCGAAGGCAGCCCCCUGGGCCAAUACUGACGCUCAUGCACGAAAGCGUGGGGAGCAAACAGGAUUAGAUACCCCUGUAGUCCCUGUCUCUUAUAC